rnacentral:rRNA from 1 species
UACGAAGGGGGCUAGCGUUGUUCGGAAUCACUGGGCGUAAAGGGCGCGUAGGCGGCUUUGUAAGUCGGGGGUGAAAGCCUGUGGCUCAACCACAGAAUUGCCUUCGAUACUGCAUGGCUUGAGACCGGAAGAGGUAAGUGGAACUGCGAGUGUAGAGGUGAAAUUCGUAGAUAUUCGCAAGAACACCAGUGGCGAAGGCGGCAUCCUGGACCACGACUGACGCUGAGGAGCGAAAGCCAGGGGAGCAAACGGG